rnacentral:tRNA from 1 species
AGGGGUAUAGUUCAAUGGUAGAGCAACGGUCUCCAAAACCGUCGAUCUGGGUUCGAGUCCUAGUGCCCCUGCCA